rnacentral:sRNA from 1 species
CUGCUGCAGCAGCUGCUGCUGCUGCAGCAACUGCAGCAGCUGCUGCCGCUGCAGCAACUGCAGCAGCUGCUGCUGCUGCAGCAACUGCAGCAGCUGCUGCUGCUGCAGCAACUGCAGCAGCAGAAGCAGCAGCAGCAGCAGCAACUGCAGCAGCAAAAACAAGAAGCAGCAGCAGCCCCACAGUGAGCGCUCGCCACCCAAAAGAUGAGAACGCUUCUGCUGCUGCAGCGGCUGCUGCCGCUGCUGCUGCUGCUGCUGCUGCUGCCGCUGCUGCUGCUGCUGCUGCUGCUGCUGCUGCUGCUUCAGCAGCAGCAGCAGCAGCAUCGCCUC